AGUGGCUUAGUUGGUAAAGCACUCGUCUAGCAUACAAGACUUAUGGGUUCGAAUCCUACCU
rnacentral:tRNA from 1 species